rnacentral:tRNA from 1 species
GACUCGGUAGCUUAGUUGGAAAAGCACUUGUCUAGCGAAUAAGGGUCGUGAGUUCGAAUCUCACCUGGGCUG